GACGAACGCUGGCGGCGUGCUUAACACAUGCAAGUCGAACGGAAAGGCCUGCUUUCCCUUGUGGAUUGCGGGUACUCGAGUGGCGAACGGGUGAGUAACACGUGAGUGAUCUGCCCCCAACUUGGGUAUAAGCCUGGGAAACUGGGUCUAAUUCCCGAUAGGACUGCAGGGUGGUGCCUGUGGUGGAAAACGAUUUUCUAGUGGUUGGGGAUGAGCUCGCGGCCUAUCAGCUUGUUGGUGGGGUAAUGGCCUACCAAGGCGGCGACGGGUAGCCGGCCUGAGAGGGUGGACGGCCACAUUGGGACUGAGAUACGGCCCAGACUCCUACGGGAGGCAGCAGUGGGGAAUAUUACACAAUGGGCGGAAGCCUGAUGCAGCGACGCCGCGUGGGGGAUGACGGCCUUCGGGUUGUAAACUCCUUUCGACCGCGGGGAAGCCACCUGGUUGGAAGGGUGGUGACGGUAGUGGUAGAAGAAGCACCGGCUAACUACGUG
rnacentral:rRNA from 1 species